rnacentral:rRNA from 1 species
UACGUAGGGUGCAAGCGUUGUCCGGAAUUAUUGGGCGUAAAGAGCUCGUAGGCGGUUUGUUGCGUCGGCUGUGAAAUCCCGAGCUCAACCUCGGGUCUGCAGUCGAUACGAGCAAACUAGAGUGUUGCAGGGGAGACUGGAAUUCCUGGUGUAGCGGUGAAAUGCGCAGAUAUCAGGAGGAACACCGGUGGCGAAGGCGGGUCUCUGGGCAACAACUGACGCUGGAGGAGCGAAAGCCGUGGGGGAGCGAACAGG